CUCCCCACAGCAUGGUUGCCAUGUGCAGGGACACCUGCCCCUAUAUUCAGUGCCUUGGGGCUGAAUUUAGUGAAGUUCUCCUCCCCUACCCUCAACCUCUAGCCAAAGUAGUUGCGUGUGCGUUGUAGUUCCUGUGUCCACGACAGUUUUAGCUCCCCUCCUCAGCCACUAGAUCGAUCUGCCCUUGUUCAUCACAGCCAACUCAUGUGUCUGGUGACCACAACAGCAAUCCUUCAACCUCACCAUGGCCAGGGUUCGUGGAGAUUGUCUCGGCCGUGUUGUGCCCGUUCCUUGUUCCUCACAGAAAUUCCCAGAAGAAGAUGAUAAAAUUCAAGAAGUCGUUUCUGAAGAGGAGUCUGCUUCAGUGCCUGCUCAUCAAGUGAUGGGAGCCAUCUAACUGGGGUUUAAUAGAGGGAUUUAGACCUCCGUCUCUGCAACAAAGGUGAUGAGGAGUACUCUAGAUGUUCCUGAGGCUGGAGAGCGUUUCUAGUUCUGGAGGAGGACUAGCUAGGUUUAUGUGUAAGCUUUGGAGGGUUUCUACCUUCCUGCUUUUGUAAUAAGUUAUGCACUUUGAGUAUAUCAGUACUUGUAAUAAAUAUUAUUCUUUCAAAACAUGUAAAACUUGAGUUUUGAAAAGGUAAAGAAUGUUUGUAAA